rnacentral:rRNA from 1 species
GACAGAGGGUGCAAACGUUGUUCGGAAUUACUGGGCGUAAAGCGCACGUAGGCGGAUUGCUAAGUCAGGGGUGAAAUCCUGGAGCUCAACUCCAGAACUGCCUUUGAUACUGGCGACCUUGAGUCCGGGAGAGGUGAGUGGAACUGCGAGUGUAGAGGUGAAAUUCGUAGAUAUUCGCAAGAACACCAGUGGCGAAGGCGGCUCACUGGCCCGGUACUGACGCUGAGGUGCGAAAGCGUGGGGAGCAAACAGG